rnacentral:tRNA from 1 species
GGCCCGUUAGCUCAAUAGGUAGAGCAGCGGACUCUUAAUCCGCGGGUUGUAGGUUCGAGUCCUACACGGGUCA